UACGGAGGGUGCAAGCGUUAUCCGGAUUCACUGGGUUUAAAGGGUGCGUAGGUGGGCAGGUAAGUCAGUGGUGAAAUCUUUGGGCUUAACCCGAAAACUGCCAUUGAUACUAUUUGUCUUGAAUAUUGUGGAGGUAAGCGGAAUAUGUCAUGUAGCGGUGAAAUGCUUAGAUAUGACAUAGAACACCGAUUGCGAAGGCAGCUUGCUACACGAUCAUUGACACUGAGGCACGAAAGCGUGGGGAUCAAACAGG
rnacentral:rRNA from 1 species